GGCGCCAUCGCCAAAUUGGCUAAGGCAACGGAUUGCAAAUCCGUCAUAUCCCGGUUCGAGUCCGGGUGGCGCCU
rnacentral:tRNA from 1 species